rnacentral:rRNA from 2 species
GAACGCUGGCGGCGUGCCUAAUACAUGCAAGUCGAACGAACUCUGGUAUUGAUUGGUGCUUGCAUCAUGAUUUACAUUUGAGUGAGUGGCGAACUGGUGAGUAACACGUGGGAAACCUGCCCAGAAGCGGGGGAUAACACCUGGAAACAGAUGCUAAUACCGCAUAACAACUUGGACCGCAUGGUCCGAGCUUGAAAGAUGGCUUCGGCUAUCACUUUUGGAUGGUCCCGCGGCGUAUUAGCUAGAUGGUGGGGUAACGGCUCACCAUGGCAAUGAUACGUAGCCGACCUGAGAGGGUAAUCGGCCACAUUGGGACUGAGACACGGCCCAAACUCCUACGGGAGGCAGCAGUAGGGAAUCUUCCACAAUGGACGAAAGUCUGAUGGAGCAACGCCGCGUGAGUGAAGAAGGGUUUCGGCUCGUAAAACUCUGUUGUUAAAGAAGAACAUAUCUGAGAGUAACUGUUCAGGUAUUGACGGUAUUUAACCAGAAAGCCACGGCUAACUACGUGCCAGCAGCCGCGGUAAUACGUAGGUGGCAAGCGUUGUCCGGAUUUAUUGGGCGUAAAGCGAGCGCAGGCGGUUUUUUAAGUCUGAUGUGAAAGCCUUCGGCUCAACCGAAGAAGUGCAUCGGAAACUGGGAAACUUGAGUGCAGAAGAGGACAGUGGAACUCCAUGUGUAGCGGUGAAAUGCGUAGAUAUAUGGAAGAACACCAGUGGCGAAGGCGGCUGUCUGGUCUGUAACUGACGCUGAGGCUCGAAAGUAUGGGUAGCAAACAGGAUUAGAUACCCUGGUAGUCCAUACCGUAAACGAUGAAUGCUAAGUGUUGGAGGGUUUCCGCCCUUCAGUGCUGCAGCUAACGCAUUAAGCAUUCCGCCUGGGGAGUACGGCCGCAAGGCUGAAACUCAAAGGAAUUGACGGGGGCCCGCACAAGCGGUGGAGCAUGUGGUUUAAUUCGAAGCUACGCGAAGAACCUUACCAGGUCUUGACAUACUAUGCAAAUCUAAGAGAUUAGACGUUCCCUUCGGGGACAUGGAUACAGGUGGUGCAUGGUUGUCGUCAGCUCGUGUCGUGAGAUGUUGGGUUAAGUCCCGCAACGAGCGCAACCCUUAUUAUCAGUUGCCAGCAUUAAGUUGGGCACUCUGGUGAGACUGCCGGUGACAAACCGGAGGAAGGUGGGGAUGACGUCAAAUCAUCAUGCCCCUUAUGACCUGGGCUACACACGUGCUACAAUGGAUGGUACAACGAGUUGCGAACUCGCGAGAGUAAGCUAAUCUCUUAAAGCCAUUCUCAGUUCGGAUUGUAGGCUGCAACUCGCCUACAUGAAGUCGGAAUCGCUAGUAAUCGCGGAUCAGCAUGCCGCGGUGAAUACGUUCCCGGGCCUUGUACACACCGCCCGUCACACCAUGAGAGUUUGUAACACCCAAAGUCGGUGGGGUAACCUUUUAGGAACCAGCCGCCUAAGGUGGG